AUUGAACGCUGGCGGCAGGCCUAACACAUGCAAGUCGAACGAGUGGCGGACGGGUGAGUAAUGUCUGGGACACUGCCUGAUGGAGGGGGAUCACUACUGGAAACGGUCGCUAAUACCGCAUACCAUCAGAUGUGCCCAUGUGGGAUUGGCGAGGGGGUGGGGAAACGGCUCACCAAGGCGACGAUCCAUAGCUGGUCUGAGAGGAUGACCAGCCACACUGGAACUGAGACACGGUCCAGACUCCUACGGGAGGCAGCAGUGGGGAAUAUUGCACAAUGGGCGCAAGCCUGAUGCAGCCAUGCCGCGUGUGUGAAGAAGGCCUUCGGGUUGUAAAGUACUUUCAGCGGGGAGGCGUUACCCGCAGAAGAAGCACCGGCUAACUCCGUGCCAGCAGCCGCGGUAAUUC
rnacentral:rRNA from 1 species